rnacentral:rRNA from 1 species
UACGAAAGGUGCAAGCGUUAAUCGGAAUUACUGGGCGUAAAGCGCGCGUAGGCGGCUUAGUAAGUUAGAUGUGAAAGCCCCGGGCUCAACCUGGGAACUGCAUCUAAAACUGCUAGGCUAGAGUAUGGUAGAGGAUGGCGGAAUUUCCUGUGUAGCGGUGAAAUGCGUAGAUAUAGGAAGGAACAUCAGUGGCGAAGGCGGCCAUCUGGACCAAUACUGACGCUGAGGUGCGAAAGCGUGGGGAGCAAAC